AUUGAACGCUGGCGGCAGGCCUAACACAUGCAAGUCGAACGAGUGGCGGACGGGUGAGUAAUGUCUGGGAACCUGCCCGAUGGAGGGGGAUAACUACUGGAAACGGUAGCUAAUACCGCAUACCAUCAGAUGUGCCCAUAUGGGAUUAGCUUGUUGGUGGGGUAACGGCUCACCAAGGCGACGAUCCCUAGCUGGUCUGAGAGGAUGACCAGCCACACUGGAACUGAGACACGGACCAGACUCCUACGGGAGGCAGCAGUGGGGAAUAGUGCACAAUGGGGGAAAGCCUGAUGCAGCCAUGCCGAGUGUAUGAAGAAGGCCUUCGGGUUGUAAAGUACGUUCAGCGGGGAGGCGUUACCCGCAGAAGAAGCACCGGCUAACUCCGUGCCAGCAGCCGCGGUAAUUC
rnacentral:rRNA from 1 species